GAUGAACGCUGGCGGCGUGCCUAAUACAUGCAAGUCGAGCGAACGGACGAGAAGCUUGCUUCUCUGAUGUUAGCGGCGGACGGGUGAGUAACACGUGGAUAACCUACCUAUAAGACUGGGAUAACUUCGGGAAACCGGAGCUAAUACCGGAUAAUAUUUUGAACCGCAUGGUUCAAAAGUAAAAGACGGUCUUGCUGUCACUUAUAGAUGGAUCCGCGCUGCAUUAGCUAGUUGGUAAGGUAACGGCUUACCAAGGCAACGAUGCAUAGCCGACCUGAGAGGGUGAUCGGCCACACUGGAACUGAGACACGGUCCAGACUCCUACGGGAGGCAGCAGUAGGGAAUCUUCCGCAAUGGGCGAAAGCCUGACGGAGCAACGCCGCGUGAGUGAUGAAGGUCUUCGGAUCGUAAAACUCUGUUAUUAGGGAAGAAUAUAUGUGUAAGUAACUGUGCACAUCUUGACGGUACCUAAUCAGAAAGCCACGGCUAACUACGUGCCAGCAGCCGCGGUAAUACGUAGGUGGCAAGCGUUAUCCGGAAUUAUUGGGCGUAAAGCGCGCGUAGGCGGUUUUUUAGUCUGAUGUGAAAGCCCACGGCUCAACCGUGGAGGGUCAUUGGAAACUGGAAAACUUGAGUGCAGAAGAGGAAAGUGGAAUUCCAUGUGUAGCGGUGAAAUGCGCAGAGAUAUGGAGGAACACCAGUGGCGAAGGCGACUUUCUGGUCUGUAACUGACGCUGAUGUGCGAAAGCGUGGGGAUCAAACAGGAUUAGAUACCCUGGUAGUCCACGCCGUAAACGAUGAGUGCUAAGUGUUAGGGGGUUUCCGCCCCUUAGUGCUGCAGCUAACGCAUUAAGCACUCCGCCUGGGGAGUACGACCGCAAGGUUGAAACUCAAAGGAAUUGACGGGGACCCGCACAAGCGGUGGAGCAUGUGGUUUAAUUCGAAGCAACGCGAAGAACCUUACCAAAUCUUGACAUCCUUUGACAACUCUAGAGAUAGAGCCUUCCCCUUCGGGGGACAAAGUGACAGGUGGUGCAUGGUUGUCGUCAGCUCGUGUCGUGAGAUGUUGGGUUAAGUCCCGCAACGAGCGCAACCCUUAAGCUUAGUUGCCAUCAUUAAGUUGGGCACUCUAAGUUGACUGCCGGUGACAAACCGGAGGAAGGUGGGGAUGACGUCAAAUCAUCAUGCCCCUUAUGAUUUGGGCUACACACGUGCUACAAUGGACAAUACAAAGGGCAGCGAAACCGCGAGGUCAAGCAAAUCCCAUAAAGUUGUUCUCAGUUCGGAUUGUAGUCUGCAACUCGACUACAUGAAGCUGGAAUCGCUAGUAAUCGUAGAUCAGCAUGCUACGGUGAAUACGUUCCCGGGUCU
rnacentral:rRNA from 1 species